GCCUGGGUGGCUCAGUCGGUUGAGUGUCCGACUUUGGCUCAGGUCAUGAUCUCACAGCUUGUGAGUUCAAACCCCACGUCAGGCU
rnacentral:tRNA from 1 species